rnacentral:rRNA from 1 species
CCCUUAGAUGUCCUGGGCCGCACGCGCGUUACACUGAUGCAUUCAACGAGCUUAUAACCUUGGCCGAGAGGCCUGGGCAAUCUUGUUAACGUGCAUCGUGAUAGGGAUAGAUUAUUGAAAUUAUUAAUCUUGAACGAGGAAUUCCUAGUAAGCGCGAGUCAUCAGCUCGUGCUGAUUACGUCCCUGCCCUUUGUACACACCGCCCGUCUCUCCUACCGAUUGAGUGAUCCGGUGAAUAAUUCGGACUGCGGCAUUGACCGGUUCCCGAUCGUUUCUGCGGAAAGUUUAGUGAACCUUAUCACUUAGAGGAAGGAGAAGUCGUAACA